rnacentral:antisense_RNA from 1 species
CACCGACAUCAGCGAUUCAUUGUGUGAGCCGGCACCCACCGCCAGAUAGGCGUUCAUGCCCAGCUCUUUCAUCUGCUGCUCGCCAAUCACGCGGGUCGUGACGUUUUUGCUGUAGGCAUCAGCCAGCUGGCGCGCCUGUGAGGCCAGAUAGGCGGCGUUACAGAUAUUUGGUGGCAUAUUGCUGAGAUCUUUCGC